rnacentral:pre_miRNA from 1 species
UAAAUACUCCCUCCGUUCCGAAUUACUUGUCGCAGGUAUGGAUGUAUCUAGAUGUAUUUUAGUUCUAGAUACAUCCAUUUCUGCGACAAGUAAUUUGGAACGGAGGGAGUAAAUG